rnacentral:rRNA from 1 species
UACGUAGGUGGCAAGCGUUGUCCGGAUUUACUGGGCGUAAAGGGCGUGCAGGCGGUCUGUUAAGUCUAGGGUGAAAGCUCCCGGCUCAACUGGGAGAGGUCCUUGGAUACUGGCGGACUCGAGGGAGGCAGAGGAGAAUAGAAUUCCCGGUGUAGUGGUGAUAUGCGUAGAUAUCGGGAGGAAUACCAGUGGCGAAGGCGGUUCUCUGGGCCUUACCUGACGCUGAGACGCGAAAGCGUGGGGAGCAAACAGG